UGGGGAAUAUUGCGCAAUGGGGGAAACCCUGACGCAGCAACGCCGCGUGAAUGAAGAAGGCUUUCGGGUCGUAAAAUUCUGUCCUUAGGGAAGAAGAAAGUGACGGUACCUAAGGAGGAAGCCCCGGCUAACUACGUGCCAGCAGCCGCGGUAAUACGUAGGGGGCGAGCGUUGUCCGGAAUCACUGGGCGUAAAGGGCGCGUAGGCGGUAUAUUAAGUCAGGUGUGAAAGUUUUCGGCUCAACCGGAAAAGUGCACUUGAAACUAAUAAACUUGAGUACUGGAGAGGUAAGCGGAAUUCCUAGUGUAGCGGUGAAAUGCGUAGAUAUUAGGAGGAACACCGGUGGCGAAGGCGGCUUACUGGACAGAGACUGACGCUGAGGCGCGAAAGCGUGGGGAGCAAACAGG
rnacentral:rRNA from 1 species